GACGAACGUUGGCGGCGUGCUUAACACAUGCAAGUCGAACGGAAAGGCCCUGCUUUUGUGGGGUGCUCGAGUGGCGAACGGGUGAGUAACACGUGAGUAACCUGCCCUUGACUUUGGGAUAACUUCAGGAAACUGGGGCUAAUACCGGAUAGGAGCUCCUGCUGCAUGGUGGGGGUUGGAAAGUUUCGGCGGUUGGGGAUGGACUCGCGGCUUAUCAGCUUGUUGGUGGGGUAGUGGCUUACCAAGGCUUUGACGGGUAGCCGGCCUGAGAGGGUGACCGGCCACAUUGGGACUGAGAUACGGCCCAGACUCCUACGGGAGGCAGCAGUGGGGAAUAUUGCACAAUGGGCGGAAGCCUGAUGCAGCAACGCCGCGUGCGGGAUGACGGCCUUCGGGUUGUAAACCGCUUUCGCCUGUGACGAAGCGUGAGUGACGGUAAUGGGUAAAGAAGCACCGGCUAACUACGUGCCAGCAGCCGCGGUGAUACGUAGGGUGCGAGCGUUGUCCGGAUUUAUUGGGCGUAAAGGGCUCGUAGGUGGUUGAUCGCGUCGGAAGUGUAAUCUUGGGGCUUAACCCUGAGCGUGCUUUCGAUACGGGUUGACUUGAGGAAGGUAGGGGAGAAUGGAAUUCCUGGUGGAGCGGUGGAAUGCGCAGAUAUCAGGAGGAACACCAGUGGCGAAGGCGGUUCUCUGGGCCUUUCCUGACGCUGAGGAGCGAAAGCGUGGGGAGCGAACAGGCUUAGAUACCCUGGUAGUCCACGCUGUAAACGGUGGGUACUAGGUGUGGGGUCCAUUCCACGGGUUCCGUGCCGUAGCUAACGCUUUAAGUACCCCGCCUGGGGAGUACGGCCGCAAGGCUAAAACUCAAAGGAAUUGACGGGGCCCCGCACAAGCGGCGGAGCAUGCGGAUUAAUUCGAUGCAACGCGUAGAACCUUACCUGGGUUUGACAUGGAUCGGGAGUGCUCAGAGAUGGGUGUGCCUCUUUUGGGGUCGGUUCACAGGUGGUGCAUGGCUGUCGUCAGCUCGUGUCGUGAGAUGUUGGGUUAAGUCCCGCAACGAGCGCAACCCUUGUUCACUGUUGCCAGCACGUUAUGGUGGGGACUCAGUGGAGACCGCCGGGGUCAACUCGGAGGAAGGUGGGGAUGACGUCAAGUCAUCAUGCCCCUUAUGUCCAGGGCUUCACGCAUGCUACAAUGGCUGGUACAGAGAGUGGCGAGCCUGUGAGGGUGAGCGAAUCUCGGAAAGCCGGUCUCAGUUCGGAUUGGGGUCUGCAACUCGACCUCAUGAAGUCGGAGUCGCUAGUAAUCGCAGAUCAGCAACGCUGCGGUGAAUACGUUCCCGGAGCU
rnacentral:rRNA from 1 species